AAAAAUUAUGCCAUUAUAUUUAUAUUAUUACAAAUAUUUUUUUUAAUAUUUAUAAUAAUUUAUAAUAAUAAAUACAUUGUAACCAAUAAACUCAAAAUUAAGUAAAAAUAUUUAAAUACAGAAUUAAUUAAAAAUAUUAAAAUUUAAAAGUAAUUAAAAAUAUUUAAAUCUAAAAUUAAUUAAAAGUAUUUAAAUAUUAUACAAAUUAAGUUUAAAAAUAGUUAAUAAAACUCAAAAAUUAUUUUUCUUCACCCUCGUAUUCUUCUUCCUCGUCCUUACUUACCUCUCCUUGCCCACCAACCGCUCCAAAUCUGCCAUAUUCUUCUAAACCUU
rnacentral:lncRNA from 1 species